rnacentral:rRNA from 1 species
GACGAACGCUGGCGGCGUGCUUAACACAUGCAAGUCGAACGGAAAGGCCCUGCUUUUGUGGGGUGCUCGAGUGGCGAACGGGUGAGUAAAACGUGAGUAAACUGCCCUUGACUUUGGGAUAACUUCAGGAAACUGGGGCUAAUACCGGAUAGGAGCUCCUGCUGCACGGGGGGGGUUGGAAAGUUUCGGCGGUUGGGGAUGGACUCGCGGCUUAUCGGCUUGUUGGUGGGGUAGUGGCUUACCAAGGCUUUGACGGGUAGCCGGCCUGAGAGGGUGACCGGCGACAUUGGGACUGAGAUACGGCCCAGAAUCCUACGGGAGGCAGCAGUGGGGAAUAUUGCACAAUGGGCGGAAGCCUGAUGCAGCAGCGCCGCGUGCGGGAUGACGGCCUUCGGGUUGUAAACCGCUUUCGCCUGUGACGAAGCGUGAGUGACGGUAAUGGGUAAAGAAGCACCGGCUAACUACGUG